AUAUCACGUUGAAACAUCGGUUCUUGUCCGAUCACCGAAGUUAAGCAAUGUUGAACCUGGUCAGUGGCUAGAUGAGUGACCGUUCGGGAAUACCAGAUGCUGUAC